rnacentral:lncRNA from 1 species
UCAGCGCCUUUCAUAUCGCUCUCGACCAUGGACUUGCACACUUUUUCAACAACACUCUUAUAAAAACCAACAGUAUCGACUAGGCAGGGUUUAGUACGAGUUCUUCCAGACUUGUCGCCACAACCAUGAUUCUCGUAGUAGCUGCUUUAACUUUCUUCCUCCUGGCUCUGCUUUAGCAGAUGUGAGGGUGCUGCAAUGAAACGAGAAGCGCUUAAUGGCUCCACUCUCCUGAACCUUUUAGGAGAGAUUUGAUGCCAAAUGGAGCGCCAUCCUCAUUGGCAUCACCUCUAUUUAUUUCUGCGAUAGAGCUGCUGUCUUGGGUACCCAGACAAUUGACCGACUGAGUAUGCGCAUUUAUACACCCUUUACUGUAGAGUUAAUUAGUUUGUUCCUAUAGAGUAUUUAUAUUACAGAAGAACUUUCCGUACGGAGUGUUGAAUAUUUUACAAUCAUCAGCUGAAA